GGUGGCGGCGGCUGCAGGGGAGCUGAGGAAGACUGAGGGGGGAAAUCCACCCGGAAGUAUCCCUCGGCUAGGGGGUCAGCCUUACAUGUUGCUGUUAACCAGCUUGUUAGCCUUCUCACGGAUGUGACUGGCAACCACUAUCUCUCAAGGUCCUUCUUACUAUCAGAAGCAAGCUAACAUCACAUGAGCUUCCUCUACAUUUUUCUUACCGAAGUUGUCUACAGGGUGAACGGGGAGCUCAGAUCAACAGGAAGCAGUGACUGACGUCAAGGAGGUCACAGUGGAAAAGCACCCUGUGAGGAAAUCUGAUUGCACCACGACUCAACUGCAAACCACUUGAAUGUAACCACAUUAAGAAUGCUUACAAAGGCUUCAGGAAGAAACAAUGAGAGAGUGUGGAUAAUGGCUUCAUUUUUUAAAAGCUUAUUAUUCUGCACAGCCCAGAAGAUGUCAGAAGUUAAUUCGGUCACCUAGCAACCCCUCUGUGAGGCCCUGGGGCAAGACGCAUCCUGUCUGAGUACAGAGACCUGUCUUGGGAAGGAUGAAAAUUCACCAGAUUACAAAACUAUGUGACCCACUGGUGAGGGUCAAGUUGGUGAGCAUAACGUUCGGAGCAAUGUGGAUGGAGCUUUCUGCUACAGCUCUCUCCUGAAGCGCAGGAGGAGGAGAAAUCAAGUGGAUGAGCAGCCCUAGGGAUGCUGCAGACUUCCAGAAGAGGAACUCACAUUCCCUCCAGGUCAGCUCUGCUUCAUCUGCUCCCACUUUUUCCGGGUUAUGUACAACACGAUCCUUUAUCAGCACCGGUAAACAGACAUCGUGCAGAUGGGCUAGGCUUGCGCAGGCCUGGUUGGUUCCCCCUGCGUCCCAGGAGGCUGUGGCUCUGUGCUCCCCCGGGAAUAGGGAGAGAGAAGAGUGGGAACAUGGCCAGGGCUGCUUCCCAUGGUCCACUGCACAGAAGCGGAAAAACACAUGUGGGGUAGGGGGUAGGGUGGUCUGGCCAGAAGGGCUUUCCUCUUUUGUUUUGAUGGGGAAUUAAAUAUCCCAUCAGUUUAAUGUCUAAAAUGGUACACAUGACGAGCGUGAAAUGAGCCAGAGGUGGGCAGGAGUGGGCUCCUCUGCUGGAUGAACAGAGUGGACUCCGGAAGCCUCCCACAGAGAGGAAACAGGAGCUCCGUGGGCAGCCCAGGAAGGAAGAAAGGGUAUCCUGCAGCCCUCCGGCAGAAAGAGGCAGGUCUGCUGGCAGGCGAGACAGGGCAGAAGGCAGGAAAGGGAACCUUGCAAAAGAAGAGAGAGUUGGGCUUGAUGGCACAAGGAUUAGCAGUGGGGUGGCAAGAGAGGUGGACAGGGCAUCCUCGCAGCCUGGAGCAGGGCCCGGAGUGAGCAGACCAGUCUACCCAGCACGGAGGGAAAGAUCGUGCAAGUAGCAGCCGUGGUGAGCAAGGGAGCAACUGGGGCACUACUCUUCCUGUUACGCCCCCUGCUGGAGCAACAGGAACCCAGGCGCAACCGGAUAUAGUGCCAAAGGCUUCAGCUGCCCCCAGCACACCACCGUAACUCAAACUCACUGAUCCUUCACAAACGUAAGAGUGCCCCUGAUUUGCAUCUGCAGCUUUAAGUCCCUGGGCUUCCUUCCAAGCAGAAAACUGCUCUGAAUGCAUCCUAAAUGGAAAUCCAGCAACUAUCCUGAGGAUCAGUUCCACAGAGGGUCACUGCCUAAGUCCACCUGGAGCGGUCUGCUCAGCAGCUUCAGCCCCAUAAAAGGUCCCAAGAAAGGGCCAACUACUCAGGGGCAGAGACUCCUCUGCCUGUUCACUGCUGUGUCCUGAGGUUUGAAGUUUGGUUGCACCAUGCGGGCCUCCAUGCCGGGCAUGGAAUGAGUGAAUGUUUUCUUGCCCCUGCGGCAAGCAAACCUGCAGAAGCAAUUGUCUACACCUCCAUGCGGAUGGGCUGCUUGUGCCUACCAGCGCUCCUGAAUAGUUCUGCAGCCUGGAAGAGAAGGACACAACCAGGUUCCUGGCACUGAGGAAGCAAUCAGGGAGAGCUCAGAUAUUUCCCCAUGAGCAAAUGUUCCAGCCUCUGCUUUCUAUCCCAGUGGGCAGGUUUCCACACUGCUGGAUCCUGUCUUCAGGGUCGGGUGGGCUCAGCCAACCACUCACAGGCAUAGCUCCAGGUCCUGCAAGACACCCAGUGAGUUCAGGCAGGGGACCCCCAGCUGCCCAGGAAAACGCGUGCAGGUGGGGCUGAGGCACUGCUGAAGCAGACAGUGGUUUUGGUCUCAUGGCCAUGCUGGUUGUGCUUUGUGUAAAGGCUGGCAGCCACACAGCGAGUGCUGCCCCAGGAUCCAGUGUUCAUUCCCAAGUCCUCCUCCUGUGAUGCAACGCCUGCGCUUACUAUGUGGGAUCCACAGCACGCUGCUACUGCCUGGGUCUUGGUCUUCUGCUCCCUCCCAGGCCGAGGGAGAACAGAACCAUCUCCUUUCCCUGGCGCUCGGUGCACUCCUGUGUCGAGUGGCUUUUCACUCAACUUUGUGACAGAGAGCGCACCUCCUCCUCACCCUGAGGGCCUCAUACUUGCUGUCUCCACACAGCGUGCUGCAGAGCACAGAGCAUCCCUAACUCGGGGGUUCAAAGCACAGAGCAUCCCUAACUCGGGGGUUCAAAGGUUCUAAACUAUGAGCAGGAAAGACCAUAACCAACCGCUCACCAACCCCAAGAGCUUCCAGUCACAGCACAUCCGGGCCAAGUCUGGCCCCGGGAGAGUGUCAACUAUGUCAAAGGUACACACCAACUCCACAAACCGUCCUACCCAAUGUGGAAGUGGAGGGUCAGAUGACAAAGGCUGGCAACAAAGCCUGUUACAACUGGACAACCUCACAACCAGCUCUUUGAGACUCUCGGGUCACACUGGACACUUUGGCAGUCCCAGCCAAAGAGAUGGAGCCAAAGGAACAAUCUGAACUUUGAGUUUUCUUUUUCCUCAUUCAUUUGUGUGGCCCCAAUUAGCAACAGAAAUCCCAGGCCUGAUAGUCAGAGAGGACAGAGCAAAGGUCCCAGCUCUCUAAUCGCCAGCCUGGAGAUGGGCCCCAGGGGGUCUUCAGCUAAAAAGAAGGCGGGUCAAAUAUUUGCUUGCCGUCAGAGAUCUGGUCUGACAGUGGGUAUCUACCCACAGUUAGUGACCGAACAGGAAGAUGGAACACUGCUAAUAAGCCGAGAACAUGCAGAGACAGGAAGCACUAUGUUCCGGCACAUUUUCUAUUUUGAUCUGAGCCAAAGGCAAACUACAACAAAUGACCCGUAAGCAGACUCAAUCACAUUUGCAGCGGUUCCACUGCUGAGGGGAAAUGUCCUUGGGUGCUUCACGAAAGGCCAAAACCACAGAUUGUGAAAAACUGUCUUUAUUCCUGACUAAUGACACUAACCUUCUCAGCUCUACAUAUUGCAAAAACUAGAAAUGUCUUGGUUGUGGCAUACAGAAGAGGCACGUAAAAAUUAAGCUGGACAACCUGGGCAAGGAUCCACAUAUGAGCUCUUGUUUGCUGUGUGUUAGCCUCUCCAGACCACUGCUUCCAGACCUUUACAAUCAGGCUGAAAGUGUCUACGUCCUCCCGGACCACUUUAGGUAUGAAACGAGAUAUUUCAUUCAACAGAACUGUAUGAAACACCAGCAUGCAGUUUUGCAGAUAACAGUAGGAGCAGGCACACCUGGAUGUGCAGCAGGGUCUCAGCGAUCUCCUCUCCUUCACCCACUCCUUCUGCAAAGCUGGCCCUACUCACGCCCCAGGGAUGAACCAGCUCUGCUGCAUGGACCUGUCUCCAGAGGGAUCUCCUUUCCAGUCACUGGGCCAGACUUGCCUUCUCGGCUCCUCACCCACACUCACAGGGCCUCUUCCCUGGCCUGGGAUGGCACAAAGACUCAGAGCACCGGGAAGCCCUGCCACUGCAGGGCCAGGUGUGCCCUGCACCCACAGCUCCUGGCAGUGACUCGGGACACAGCAGGCCUGGGUGUGCUGCUCAGUGUUCUGUAACCAGGGGAAGAGAGAAGCCAGCAGGGGCUGUGGGGAGGGGAGGCUGGGCCACGCAGGGCCCUGGGGGACAGCACGCUGCCUCCACGCACUGUGGUGGGCCUCAGGGCCCUUCUGGAGGCCUCUCUGCCACCAUGGGGGAAGGACACAGGUUUGGGUAGAGGAGCUGGAAAAAAUAAAAGGCAAGGGUACUUCCUAAAGACAAGUGGGCUAUUGGGUAAGCCAGAGUUAGAACCCAGAGCUCUUAUUUUGAAGGUUACAGUGGUGUCACCCCCGAAAAAUGCUGAACGACUAAUUCCAGGGGCACAGGAUGCUUGCAUUGGUUGUCUCUCCUCUUCUCUCCUCCCCCCAACCACACACACACACACACACACACACACACACUUUUGCAAAUAUUUAGGAGAAUGGAGAAAAUAAUACGGAGAAAGGAACAUUCCCUUGUAUUCACGUUGCAGGUGGUUUUCCCACAUACGUGAAGUCUUCCAAAAUCACACACACGGUACACACCAGCACACACACUGAUGCCAUUUAGUUCACAAGACUCCUGCGGCCCCCAAACUCCAGAACGAGGCUUUCAGUUUUGUUGGUCCACAUGUGAGAAGGGAGAGCUCUGGCCCCGCCCGGGGUUCCACUCUCACAGGCUGAGCCCCAGGUCCCCAAUCAGCAGCCCUGGGGUCCUGAGGAAGGAGCCGGCAGGAUGGGUCCAGGAGAGGUAAGAGCAAGAGCCGUGGCUCCAUCCUGUGCAGGGAGUGUCCAUGUUCUGAAGCCCACCUCGCUGCAGCAGAGGCCGCUCAAGCACAGGCAACUCCUCAGGGAUGAGAUGAGUGCCACCUGGCUCAGCCUGGCCUUACGCCGGGUCUGGGCCUGUUAGAAAGAGGCAGUGAGCGCCUAUGCUCUGUGUUCACAGCGGCUCAUGUUUCUCAACCUUUGCUCCCAUAAACUGGGUCUCUGAACAAAGGCUAAACCAUCUGGCCAAUAUUUACCUUGCCACAUCCCCUUCCUACGGCUUCCGGGUCUUUAUUCCCUCUUUCUUUCUCCCUCCCUCUUUCUGUGUCUGUCCUGACCUCCUCCCUCCCCAGCACUCAGCUGAGACUCCAGAGGAGAACCAAGGGGAGAGCCCCCCACAAGUGGUCAGAGACCCAGAUUCCAGGCCCCAGAUGCCAGGAGGCUCAGUGCUGGCGGUCACUGAUGAAGACAGAGAGUGAAAGCAAAUUCAGUUUGCAAAGAGCAGAGCAGGCGGCAUCUAUAAAACCUGCAUCCGGCGUGCUGAGAACCCAAGUGCCCUCCCUGGCUUAAUCAUGGCUUAUUCGUCCCAUCCCCUUGUUAAGGAAACAGAAUCCAACUACCAAAUUUGAUAAACAGAAAAGAGAAAAAAAUCACCCGUAAUUCCACUAACCAAAUACACCCUCCCUCCCUCUUUUCUCUCCAUCCAUUUUAGCAUUAGGGAUCAAACCCAGGACCUUGCACAUGUUAGCCAUGCUACCCUAGAUUAUACCCCCACCUCAGUAUACUAUUUAAGUACAGUAUAUUGCUGUUGCUGAAUGGUGAAUUUGCUUCUAACAUUUUCCUCUUAUAAAUCAUGCACUCACACCAAACAUCCUUGACAAAAAGAACAAUGCCAGGGGUGUCACACAACCUGGUUUCAAAACCAACUACAAAGCUGUAAUUAUCAAAACUGCAUAACACUGGCAUAAAAACAGACACAGAGACCAAUGGAACAGAACACAGGGUGCAGAAAUAAGUUCACAUAAUUAUGGCCAACUGAUUUUCAACAAAAUAGUAAAGUCAUACAAGGGGAAAGGGCAGGCUCUUCAGUUACUGGCGUUUCUGCAUGGAGAAUGAAACUACAUCCUUAUCUUGCACCAGACACAAAAUCAACCUGACAUGGAUAAGAAAUUUCAAUGUAAGACUUGCAACUGUAAAUCUACUAAAAGAAAACGUACAAGAAAAGCUCUAUAAUAUUGGCAUCAGCUUUUUGAAUGUGACUCUGAAAGCUCAGGCAACAAAAGCAAAGGAAGAUAAAUGAGAAUAUGUCAAAGUGAAAGCUUGUGCAUAGCAAAGAAACACAGUAAAGGAAAAAAAAAA